UGGGGAAUAUUGGACAAUGGGCGCAAGCCUGAUCCAGCCAUGCCGCGUGAGUGAUGAAGGCCCUAGGGUUGUAAAGCUCUUUCACCGGUGAAGAUAAUGACGGUAACCGGAGAAGAAGCCCCGGCUAACCUCGUGCCAGCAGCCGCGGUAAUACGAAGGGGGCUAGCGUUGUUCGGAUUUACUGGGCGUAAAGCGCACGUAGGCGGACUAUUAAGUCAGGGGUGAAAUCCCGGGGCUCAACCCCGGAACUGCCUUUGAUACUGGUAGUCUUGAGUUCGGGAGAGGUGAGGGGAAUUCCGGGUGAAGAGGUGAAAUUCGUAGAUAUUAGGAGGAACACCAGUGGCGAAGGCGGCUCACUGGCUCGAUACUGGCGCUGAGGUGCGAAAGCGUGGGGAGCAAACAGG
rnacentral:rRNA from 1 species